rnacentral:tRNA from 1 species
GCAUUGGUGAGUCAGUGGUAGAAUUCUCACCUUCCACGUGGGAGACCCAGGUUCAGCUCCUGGCCAAGGCA